UGGGGAAUUUUCCGCAAUGGGCGAGAGCCUGACGGAGCAACGCCGCGUGAGGGAGGACGGCCUGUGGGUUGUAAACCUCUUUUCUCAGGGAAGAAGAACUGACGGUACCUGAGGAAUCAGCAUCGGCUAACUCCGUGCCAGCAGCCGCGGUAAGACGGAGGAUGCAAGCGUUAUCCGGAAUUAUUGGGCGUAAAGCGUCCGCAGGCGGCCGUUCAAGUCUGCUGUCAAAGCCCGCGGCUCAACUGUGGAUGGGCAGUGGAAACUGAGCGGCUAGAGCGUGGUAGGGGUAGAGGGAAUUCCUAGUGUAGCGGUGAAAUGCGUAGAUAUUAUGAAGAACACCAGUGGCGAAGGCGCUCUACUGGGCCACGACUGACGCUGAGGGACGAAAGCUAGGGGAGCGAUAGGGAUUAGAUACCCGCGUAGUCC
rnacentral:rRNA from 1 species